UACAGAGGUCUCAAGCGUUGUUCGGAUUCAUUGGGCGUAAAGGGUGCGUAGGCGGUUUGGUAAGUCGGGUGUGAAAUCUCGGGGCUUAACUCCGAAACUGCAUUCGAUACUGCCGUGCUUGAGGACUGGAGAGGAGACUGGAAUUUACGGUGUAGCGGUGAAAUGCGUAGAUAUCGUAAGGAAGACCAGUGGCGAAGGCGGGUCUCUGGACAGUACCUGACGCUGAGGCACGAAGGUCAGGGGAGCAAACAGG
rnacentral:rRNA from 1 species